UUUCCGUUUUUUUCGUGUCCAACAUUUGACCAUUCAUCUUAUUUGAAAAUUUUAUACAAAAUCUUAAAAAAUUAGUCACGUAUAAAGUAUUAUUUAUAUUUUAUCAUCUAGUAAUAAUAAAAAUAUUAAUCACAGAAAAUUUUUAAAUAAAACGAAUAGUCAAAUGUUAGACACGAAAAAACGAAAAAUGAGGUUAUU
rfam:Oryza brachyantha chromosome 4, whole genome shotgun sequence.